rnacentral:rRNA from 1 species
AACGUAGGAGGCGAGCGUUAUCCGGAUUUACUGGGUGUAAAGCGCGUGCAGGCGGUUUAUUAAGUUGGGUGUGAAAGCUCCUGGCUCAACUAGGAGAGGUCGCUCAAGACUGAUAGACUCGAGAGCAGUAGGGGAAGGUGGAAUUCCGGGAGUAGUGGUGAAAUGCGUAGAUAUCCGGAGGAACACCAGUGGCGAAGGCGGCCUUCUAGACUGUAUCUGACGCUCAGACGCGAAAGCUAGGGUAGCAAACGGG